CUGCCAUUGCUCCAUAGUCCAGUUCUGAUGCUCAGUUCCCCAUUUAACGUGCUAUUGGCGGUGGACAAUCGGCAUCAUGGCCUCUCUGACAGGUCUGCAGCUACACAGCCCCAUAUACAGAAAACUUUGAUGCACUGUGUGUUCUGAGACCUUUCUAUCAUGACCUGCAUUCACUUUUUCAGCAAUUGGAGUUACAGUAGCUCUUCUGUGUGAUCCUACCAAAU